GAUGAACGCUGGCGGCGUGCUUAACACAUGCAAGUCGAACGGAAAGGCCCAAGCUUGCUUGGGUACUCGAGUGGCGAACGGGUGAGUAACACGUGGGUGAUCUGCCCUGCACUUCGGGAUAAGCCUGGGAAACUGGGUCUAAUACCGGAUAGGACCACAUUUUGGAUGGUGUGGUGGAAAGUUUUUCGGUGUGGGAUGAGCUCGCGGCCUAUCAGCUUGUUGGUGGGGUAAUGGCCUACCAAGGCGUCGACGGGUAGCCGGCCUGAGAGGGUGUACGGCCACAUUGGGACUGAGAUACGGCCCAGACUCCUACGGGAGGCAGCAGUGGGGAAUAUUGCACUAUGGGCGCAAGCCUGAUGCAGCGACGCCGCGUGGGGGAUGACGGCCUUCGGGUUGUAAACUCCUUUCGCUAGGGACGAAGCGCAAGUGACGGUACCUGGAGAAGAAGCACCGGCUAACUACGUG
rnacentral:rRNA from 1 species